rnacentral:rRNA from 1 species
AUACGGAGGACGCGAGCGUUAUCCGGAUUUAUUGGGUUUAAAGGGAGCGCAGGCGGAGAUGCAAGCGUGACGUCAAAUUUCGGGGCUCAACCCCGUCUCGCGUCGCGAACUGCGUCCCUUGGUUGCGGGAAGGGGAGGCGGUACUCGUGGUGUAGCGGGGAAAUGCAUAGAUAUCACGAAGAACUCCGAUCGCGAAGGCAGCCUUCCGGCCCGUCAACGACGCUCAUGCUCGAAGGUGCGGGUAUCAAACAGGAUUAGAUACCCUGGUAGUCCGCACAGUAAACGAUGGACACCCGCGGUUUGGCCUGUAUGGCUGAGCCGCCAAGCGAAAGCGUUAAGUGUCCCACCUGGGGAGUACGCCGGCAACGGUGAAACUCAAAGGAAUUGACGGGG